GACGAACGCUGGCGGCGUGCUUAACACAUGCAAGUCGAACGGAAAGGCCCUGCUUUUGUGGGGUGCUCGAGUGGCGAACGGGUGAGUAACACGUGAGUAACCUGCCCUUGACUGUGGGAUAACUUCAGGAAACUGGGGCUAAUACCGGAUAGGAGCUCCUGCUGCAUGGUGGGGGUUGGAAAGUUUCGGCGGUUGGGGAUGGACUCGCGGCUUAUCAGCUUGUUGGUGGGGUAGUGGCUUACCAAGGCUUUGACGGGUAGCCGGCCUGGGAGGGUGGCCGGGCACAUGGGGACUACGGGAGGGACCAGACUCCUACGGGGGGCAGCGGGGGGAAAUAUGACACAAUGGGGGGGAGCCUGAUACGAAGACCCCGGGAGCGGGAAGACCGCCUAGGGGUUAGGAACCGCUUUAGCCUGAGACGGAGCGGGAGUGACGGUAAUGGGUAAAGAAGCACCGGCUAACUACGUG
rnacentral:rRNA from 1 species